ensembl:lncRNA
AAAUGUUUUUUUUUUCUUGUAAACUUUAAGUUUUCUUCUAGAUCUGUUCUCCGAUUGAACGUGUCUCCCAUGUGUCUGAUUGGAGUGAUGCUGGGCAACUACUGCAAAAACACAAAGGACGGACUGAACAUGACUAUUUUCACUUCCCUGAGAAACCUAGUUCAAGUGCUCAUGUGAAGUCAAGUUCUUCCGUUUUCCUUCCAAAAUCUACUAUAAAGGAAGACAGCUUUUUUUCUCCAACCCGUAAAAAAAAAUAAAAAAAAAUAAAACAAAUCUUGCUCUCUUCCCUCUGAAAAGA